rnacentral:rRNA from 1 species
UACGUAGGGGGCAAGCGUUGUCCGGAUUUAUUGGGCGUAAAGAGCGUGUAGGCGGCUUGGUAGGUCUCGCGUCAAAACCUGAGGCUCAACCUCAGUUCGCGUGGGAAACCACCUAGCUAGAGUCCGGAAGAGGAGAACGGAAUUCCUGGUGUAGCGGUGAAAUGCGCAGAUAUCAGGAGGAACACCGGUGGCGAAGGCGGUUCUCUGGGCAUUACCUGACGCUGAGGAGCGAAAGUGUGGGGAGCGAACAGG